AGUUAUGUAAUAACCCUUUGACCUAUCAGCCCAUUGAGGACAUGGACUAUGUCAGGAAGGAGUGGAUACCUAAACAUUAUCAUAGUCUGUUGGAAAGGAAGAAAGGACAAUGAGUGCUGUAGGCCACCGGUAAUGUCCACUCCAGAGUUCCUGGGAGGAACAUGGCCAGACAGAGAGGAGAGAGCAUGUUACACGUUGUCUGCAAAAAGCUACACGUGAUGAGCCUUCGAUGCAUGUGAGACUUGGAAUUGUAAAGA